AGAAUCAGUCUUGUGUGAUAACUGCUUACAAGAAAUUCAAAAGAAGUCAACAACAUGAUUAUAUAUUGCAUUUAAUUGUCAGGGAAAGGGAUAAGAAGAAAACACUGCAUGACAAUUUUAUAUUAUUAUCUGACAUUUGUUACAGCCAGAGUGAUCCAAAUGUACUUUCAGCAAUGACAUUUGACCAACAAAGGAAAAGUAAUCACUAAGUCUUAAUUUUAGGUUCAUACCGCAUUCAAAAACCAUAGAAAUAAAACAUAUAUAGGUAAAACAUAAUAUUGCUGGAGAUUUACAAGGACCUGUCUGCAAUU
rnacentral:misc_RNA from 1 species